GACGAACCGUGCGAACGUUAUUCGGAAUCACUGGGCUUAAAGCGCGUGUAGGCGGGGCGGCACGUCGGUCGCUGAAAUCCCCCGGCUCAACCGGGGAAGGGGCGCCGAUACGACCGGCCUGGAGGGACGUAGGGGGAGCUGGAACUUCCGGUGGAGCGGUGAAAUGCGUUGAGAUCGGAAGGAACGCCCGUGGCGAAAGCGAGCUCCUGGACGUUUUCUGACGCUGAGACGCGAAAGCCAGGGGAGCGAACGGG
rnacentral:rRNA from 1 species